AUACGUAGGGGGCAAGCGUUGUCCGGAAUGACUGGGCGUAAAGGGCGUGGAGGCGGCGGUGUAAGUCUGGAGUGAAAGUCCCGCAUUCAAUGGGGGAAUUGCUUUGGAUACUGCAGUGCUAGAGUGCGGAAGAGGUAAGUGGAAUUCCCAGUGUAGCGGUGAAAUGCGUAGAGAUUGGGAGGAACACCAGUGGCGAAGGCGACUUACUGGGCCGUAACUGACGCUGAGGCGCGAAAGCGUGGGGAGCGAACAGGAUUAGAUGCCCUGGUAGUCCACGCGGUAAACGAUGAAUGCUAGGUGUUGCGGGUAUCGACCCCUGCAGUGCCGGAGUAAACACAAUAAGCAUUCCGCCUGGGGAGUACGGCCGCAAGGCUGAAACUCAAAUGAAUUGGCGGGG
rnacentral:rRNA from 1 species